UACGUAGGGUGCAAGCGUUGUCCGGAAUUAUUGGGCGUAAAGGGCUCGUAGGCGGUCCAUCGCGUCGGGAGUGAAAAGCUGGGGCUCAACCCCAGUCCUGCUUCUGAUACGGGUGGACUAGAGGUAUGCAGGGGAGAACGGAAUUCCUGGUGUAGCGGUGAAAUGCGUAGAUAUCUGGAGGAACACCGGUGGCGAAGGCGGCUCACUGGCUCGUAUCUGACACUCAAGCGCGACAGCGUGGGGAUCAAACAGG
rnacentral:rRNA from 1 species